rnacentral:rRNA from 1 species
AUGAACGCUGGCGGCGUGCCUAAUACAUGCAAGUCGAGCGAACAGACGAGGAGCUUGCUCCUCUGACGUUAGCGGCGGACGGGUGAGUAACACGUGGAUAACCUACCUAUAAGACUGGGGUAACUUCGGGAAACCGGAGCUAAUACCGGAUAACAUGUUGAACCGCAUGGUUUAACAGUGAAAGACGGUCUUGCUGUCACUUAUAGAUGGAUCCGCGCCGCAUUAGCUAGUUGGUAAGGUAACGGCUUACCAAGGCAACGAUGCGUAGCCGACCUGAGAGGGUGAUCGGCCACACUGGAACUGAGACACGGUCCAGACUCCUACGGGAGGCAGCAGUAGGGAAUCUUCCGCAAUGGGCGAAAGCCUGACGGAGCAACGCCGCGUGAGUGAAGAAGGUCUUCGGAUCGUAAAACUCUGUUAUUAGGGAAGAACAAAUGUGUAAGUAACUAUGCACGUCUUGACGGUACCUAAUCAGAAAGCCACGGCUAACUACGUG